UACGGAGGGGGGCUAGCGUUGUUCGGAAUUACUGGGCGUAAAGCGCGCGUAGGCGGCUUUGUAAGUUAGAGGUGAAAGCCCGGAGCUCAACUCCGGAAUUGCCUUUAAGACUGCAUCGCUAGAAUCAUGGAGAGGUGAGUGGAAUUCCGAGUGUAGAGGUGAAAUUCGUAGAUAUUCGGAAGAACACCAGUGGCGAAGGCGACUCACUGGACAUGUACUGACGCUGAGGUGCGAAAGCGUGGGGAGCAAACAGG
rnacentral:rRNA from 1 species